rnacentral:snRNA from 1 species
AUUGAAAAUUUUUAUUCUCUUUGAAAUUUGUCUUGGUGGGACCCUUUGUCUAGGCAUUGAGUGUUCCCGUU